GUGAGGGUGAAUACAGAGAGAUUGAGAGAAGUGUGGUUGAAAAGCUGAAUAAUUGGUGCUUCAGAAUGUUUUGUGUGGUGAAGGGAAUUUUUCUGACUUUCAUCCUUUUCCAGUACAGCAAUGAAGAUAAGAACUCAGUUGUUGACAAAUGCUUGAAGGGAAUCUCGAUGGCCCCAUGGAUACAGUAUACAACACGUCUGUUGAGUGAUAUAGAAAACAUUGUUACAUCAUUAGAACACGACAUGGAAUCCUCUGCCAAUUUCGAUGCCGUGACCCUACUUAAAUCUGUCGGCCAGGAGGCAGGAGUAAAGUGAGGUUUCCAGUGAUCUUCCAGAUCAGGAUGAAAAAUUCAGAUACAGUAGAACCAGCAGAUCCCAUGAAAUUUAACAUUAUUAUUUUAAAUGUCAAUGAUGGUUACAAUGUAGACACUGGUAUCUUCACAGCCCCCCUUGAGGGUUUCUAUUUCAUCUGCCUAUCUGUGCUCCCAGUAAACGGAAAAGUGCAAAUGUUCUUCAGAAAGAACGGGAUAAAGUUUUCUGAACUAUAUUGUGAUAAUGAUUUGUAUACAUCAACCAUUGUAAUAUCUGAGAUCAUAUACCUUUUCAAAGGAGACCAAGUAUGGAUUCAUUUUGUAGAAGGAAACUUUCAAAACAAACCACAUGCGCUAAAAUUUAUGGGAUACAAGUUCUGAUAUUAAGUGUUUAUAAAAUGGAAGUUUGCCUUGUG